GAUGAACGCUGGCGGCGUGCCUAAUACAUGCAAGUCGAGCGAACAGACGAGGAGCUUGCUCCUCUGACGUUAGCGGCGGACGGGUGAGUAACACGUGGAUAACCUACCUAUAAGACUGGGAUAACUUCGGGAAACCGGAGCUAAUACCGGAUAAUAUAUUGAACCGCAUGGUUCAAUAGUGGAAGACGGUUUUGCUGUCACUUAUAGAUGGAUCCGCGCCGCAUUAGCUAGUUGGUAAGGUAACGGCUUACCAAGGCAACGAUGCGUAGCCGACCUGAGAGGGUGAUCGGCCACACUGGAACUGAGACACGGUCCAGACUCCUACGGGAGGCAGCAGUAGGGAAUCUUCCGCAAUGGGCGAAAGCCUGACGGAGCAACGCCGCGUGAGUGAUGAAGGUCUUCGGAUCGUAAAACCCUGUUAUUAGGGAAGAACAAAUGUGUAAGUAACUAUGCACGUCUUGACGGUACCUAAUCAGAAAGCCACGGCUAACUACGU
rnacentral:rRNA from 1 species